rnacentral:rRNA from 1 species
GAGUUUGAUCCUGGCUCAGGACGAACGCUGGCGGCGUGCUUAACACAUGCAAGUCGAACGAGAAUCUACUGAAAGAGUUUUCGGACAAUGGAUGUAGAGGAAAGUGGCGGACGGGUGAGUAACGCGUGAGGAACCUGCCUUGAAGAGGGGGACAACAGUUGGAAACGACUGCUAAUACCGCAUGAAGCAUAGGGGUCGCAUGAUUCUUAUGCCAAAGAUUUAUCGCUUCAAGAUGGCCUCGCGUCUGAUUAGCUGGUUGGCGGGGCAACGGCCCACCAAGGCGACGAUCAGUAGCCGGACUGAGAGGUUGAACGGCCACAUUGGGACUGAGAUACGGCCCAGACUCCUACGGGAGGCAGCAGUGGGGAAUAUUGGGCAAUGGGCGCAAGCCUGACCCAGCAACGCCGCGUGAAGGAAGAAGGCUUUCGGGUUGUAAACUUCUUUUAAGAGGGAAGAGCAGAAGACGGUACCUCUAGAAUAAGCCACGGCUAACUACGUGCCAGCAGCCGCGGUAAUACGUAGGUGGCAAGCGUUGUCCGGAUUUACUGGGUGUAAAGGGCGUGCAGCCGGGUCUGCAAGUCAGAUGUGAAAUCCAUGGGCUCAACCCAUGAACUGCAUUUGAAACUGUAGAUCUUGAGUGUCGGAGGGGCAAUCGGAAUUCCUAGUGUAGCGGUGAAAUGCGUAGAUAUUAGGAGGAACACCAGUGGCGAAGGCGGAUUGCUGGACGAUAACUGACGGUGAGGCGCGAAAGUGUGGGGAGCAAACAGGAUUAGAUACCCUGGUAGUCCACACUGUAAACGAUGAAUACUAGGUGUGCGGGGACUGACCCCCUGCGUGCCGCAGUAAACACAAUAAGUAUUCCACCUGGAG